rnacentral:rRNA from 1 species
AGAGUUUGAUCUUGGCUCAGGAUGAACGCUGGCGGCGUGCCUUAUACAUGCAAGUCGAACGCUUUGUUUUUAAUUGAUAUGAAGAGCUUGCUCUGAUUUGAUUUUAUCUGACAAAGAGUGGCGAACGGGUGAGUAACACGUGGGUAACCUACCUCUUAGCAGGGGAUAACAUUUGGAAACAAGUGCUAAUACCGUAUAACACUAACAACCGCAUGGUUGUUAGUUGAAAGAUGGUUCUGCUAUCACUAAGAGAUGGACCCGCGGUGCAUUAGCUAGUUGGUAAGGUAAUGGCUUACCAAGGCGAUGAUGCGUAGCCGAGUUGAGAGACUGAUCGGCCACAAUGGGACUGAGACACGGCCCAUACUCCUACGGGAGGCAGCAGUAGGGAAUCUUCCACAAUGGGCGCAAGCCUGAUGGAGCAACGCCGCGUGUGUGAUGAAGGGUUUCGGCUCGUAAAACACUGUUAUAAGAGAAGAACGACAUUGAGAGUAACUGUUCAGUGUGUGACGGUAUCUUAUCAGAAAGGAACGGCUAAAUACGUGCCAGCAGCCGCGGUAAUACGUAUGUUCCAAGCGUUAUCCGGAUUUAUUGGGCGUAAAGCGAGCGCAGACGGUUAUUUAAGUCUGAAGUGAAAGCCCUCAGCUCAACUGAGGAAGGGCUUUGGAAACUGGAUAACUUGAGUGCAGUAGAGGAAAGUGGAACUCCAUGUGUAGCGGUGAAAUGCGUAGAUAUAUGGAAGAACACCGGUGGCGAAAGCGGCUUUCUGGACUGUAACUGACGUUGAGGCUCGAAAGUGUGGGUAGCAAACAGGAUUAGAUACCCUGGUAGUCCACACCGUAAACGAUGAGUGCUAGAUGUUCGAGGGUUUCCGCCCUUGAGUGUCGCAGCU